rnacentral:rRNA from 1 species
UGAGGAAUCUUGCGCAAUGGGGGAAACCCUGACGCAGCAACGCCGCGUGAGUGAGGAAGGUCUUCGGGUCGUAAAGCUCUGUCAGGCGGGAGGAAAUGCAUGGAGGUGAACAGCCGCCAUGCUUGACGGUACCGCCAGAGGAAGCACCGGCUAACUCCGUGCCAGCAGCCGCGGUAAUACGGGGGGUGCAAGCGUUGUUCGGAAUCAUUGGGCGUAAAGAGCGUGUAGGCGGCUUGGUAAGUCAGAUGUGAAAGCCCUGGGCUCAACCCGGGAAGUGCAUUUGAAACUGCCAGGCUAGAGUAGGGGAGAGGGAAGUGGAAUUCCUGGUGUAGAGGUGAUAUUCGUAGAUAUCAGGAGGAACACCGGUGGCGAAGGCGACUUCCUGGCCCUAUACUGACGCUGAGACGCGAGAGCGUGGGUAGCAAACAG